UGGCGGCGUGCUUACCUGCAAGUCGAACGAGCCUUCGGGCGAGUGGCGGACGGGUGAGUAACGCGUGGGAAUCUGCCCUCAGGAGGGGGAUAACGGCCGGAAACGGCCGCUAAUACCCCAUAUGCCGAGAGGUGAAAUGAAUUUCGCCUGAGGAUGAGCCCGCGUCUGAUUAGCUAGUUGGUGGGGUAAUGGCCCACCAAGGCGACGAUCAGUAGCUGGUCUGAGAGGAUGAUCAGCCACACUGGGACUGAGACACGGCCCAGACUCCUACGGGAGGCAGCAGUGGGGAAUUUUCCGCAAUGGGCGAAAGCCUGACGGAGCAACGCCGCGUGAGGGAUGAAGGCCUCUGGGCUGUAAACCUCUUUUCUCAAGGAAGAAGACAUGACGGUACUUGAGGAAUAAGCCACGGCUAAUUCCGUGCCAGCAGCCGCGGUAAUACGGGAGUGGCAAGCGUUAUCCGGAAUUAUUGGGCGUAAAGCGUCCGCAGGCGGCCUUGUAAGUCUGUCGUUAAAGCGUGGAGCUUAACUCCAUUUCAGCGAUGGAAACUACAAGGCUUGAGUGUGGUAGGGGCAGAGGGAAUUCCCGGUGUAGCGGUGAAAUGCGUAGAUAUCGGGAAGAACACCAGUGGCGAAGGCGCUCUGCUGGGCCAUAACUGACGCUCAUGGACGAAAGCCAGGGGAGCGAAAGGGAUUAGAUACCCCUGUAGUCCUGGCCGUAAACGAUGAACACUAGGUGUCGGGGGAAUCGACCCCCUCGGUGUCGUAGCUAACGCGUUAAGUGUUCCGCCUGGGGAGUACGCACGCAAGUGUGAAACUCAAAGGAAUUGACGGGGGCCCGCACAAGCGGUGGAGUAUGUGGUUUAAUUCGAUGCAACGCGAAGAACCUUACCAGGGUUUGACAUCCUGCGAAUCCCUUGGAAACGAGGGAGUGCCUUCGGGAGCGCAGAGACAGGUGGUGCAUGGCUGUCGUCAGCUCGUGUCGUGAGAUGUUGGGUUAAGUCCCGCAACGAGCGCAACCCACGUCUUUAGUUGCCAGCAUUCAGUUGGGCACUCUAGAGAGACCGCCGGUGAUAAACCGGAGGAAGGUGUGGAUGACGUCAAGUCAUCAUGCCCCUUACAUCCUGGGCUACACACGUACUACAAUGCUACGGACAAAGGGUUGCAAGCUCGCGAGAGUUAGCUAAUCCCAUAAACCGUGGCUCAGUUCAGAUCGUAGGCUGCAACUCGCCUACGUGAAGGAGGAAUCGCUAGUAAUCGCAGGUCAGCAUACUGCGGUGAAUACGUUCCCGGGCCUUGUACACACCGCCCGUCACACCAUGGAAGUUGGCCAUGCCCGAAGUCGUUACUCCAACCCUUGUGGAGGAGGACGCCGAAGGUGGGGCUGAUGACUGGGGUGAAGUCGUAACAAGGUAGCCGUACCGGAAGGUGCGGCUGGAUCACCUCCU
rnacentral:rRNA from 1 species